rnacentral:rRNA from 1 species
AGUUAGGAAGUGCAAGGAUGUUAAUAGCGUUCUUGCUUGACUAAGGCUCCGGAGGAAGCCACGGCUAACUCUGUGCCAGCAGCCGCGGUAAUACAGAGGCGGCAAGCGUUGUUCGGAAUUAUUGGGCGUAAAGAGCACGUAGGCGGCUGUGUAAGUCGGUUGUGAAAGCCUUCCGCUUAACGGAAGAACGGCAUCCGAUACUGCAUAGCUUGAGUGCGGGAGGGGAGAGUGGAACUUCUGGUGGAGCGGUGAAAUGCGUAGAUAUCAGAAGGGACACCGGCGGCGAAGGCGACUCUCUGGUCCGUAACUGACGCUGAGUGCGCGAAAGCUAGGGGAGCAAACGGGAUUAGAUGCCCCGGUAGUCCUAGCCGUAAACGAUGGGCACUCAGUAGAGGGA